ACGGCCGCAAGGUUAAAACUCAAAUGAAUUGACGGGGGCCCGCACAAGCGGUGGAGCAUGUGGUUUAAUUCGAUGCAACGCGAAGAACCUUACCUGGUCUUGACAUCCACAGAACUUUCCAGAGAUGGAUUGGUGCCUUCGGGAACUGUGAGACAGGUGCUGCAUGGCUGUCGUCAGCUCGUGUUGUGAAAUGUUGGGUUAAGUCCCGCAACGAGCGCAACCCUUAUCCUUUGUUGCCAGCGGUUCGGCCGGGAACUCAAAGGAGACUGCCAGUGAUAAACUGGAGGAAGGUGGGGAUGACGUCAAGUCAUCAUGGCCCUUACGACCAGGGCUACACACGUGCUACAAUGGCAUAUACAAAGAGAAGCGACCUCGCGAGAGCAAGCGGACCUCAUAAAGUAUGUCGUAGUCCGGAUUGGAGUCUGCAACUCGACUCCAUGAAGUCGGAAUCGCUAGUAAUCGUAGAUCAGAAUGCUACGGUGA
rnacentral:rRNA from 1 species